GCAAUCACUAUCAAAAUCCCAAUGUUUUUCGAUCCCAUCUGAUCUCAGAAGCUAAGCAGGAUUGGUCCUGGUUAGUACCUGGAUGGGAGACCACCUAGGAAGACCAGGUGCUGUAGGCA
rnacentral:rRNA from 1 species